AUUGAACGCUGGCGGCAUGCUUUACACAUGCAAGUCGAACGAGUGGCGGACGGGUGAGUAACGCAUCGGAACGUACCGGGUGAAGGGGGAUAACUGUCCGAAAGGAUAGCUAAUACCGCAUAUUAUUCGAGCGGCCGAUGUGCGAUUAGCUGGUGGGCGGGGUAAAGGCCCACCAAGGCGACGAUCAGUAGCGGGUCUGAGAGGAUGAGCAGCCACACUGGGACUGAGACACGGCCCAGACUCCUACGGGAGGCAGCAGUGGGGAAUUUUGGACAAUGGGCGCAAGCCUGAUCCAGCCAUGCCGCGUGUCUGAAGAAGGCCUUCGGGUUGUAAAGGACUUUUGUCAGGGAAGCGGUACCUGCAGAAUAAGCACCGGCUAACUACGUGCCAGCAGCCGCGGUAAUUC
rnacentral:rRNA from 1 species